UUUCAAAUUAAUUAUGUGAAUAGGAUAUUUCCACCAAAAGCUAAAGUGCAGUUAAGAGGUCGGGUAAGUUGCAAGAAUUUUGACAAGG